UUGGGAGAAUAGAUCGUGAAACAGAGUUGCCGACGAAGAGGAAUCGAUCAAGGAAAGGUAAAGAAGGCAAAGGCUUGCACUCGAUUGGAUAUUAGAUGCGGUCUCCAUAUACAAGGUACUCAAGAUAGCGGUGAAAGUUUUGAAGUAUCUUUAUGAAGUCUUUAGUUGCUGUUAGUGGCGAGUUGGUGUCUUGCUCUGAUACGUAGCACUUAGGAUGGGAUUACGAUUGUAUUUGUUGUUCUAUUAUUGUUGUUAUUAUUAUAACUGUUGACCAAGUUGAAUAAUAAGAAGUAAUUACUGUUGUUUUAA